rnacentral:rRNA from 1 species
GUUUGAUCAUGGCUCAGAUUGAACGCUGGCGGCGUGCUUAACACAUGCAAGUCGAUCGGUAACGCGGGGGCAACCCUGGCGACGAGAGGCGGACGGGUGAGGAACGCUUGGGAAUCUGCCUAUCAGCGGGGGACAACCCGGGGAAACUCGGGCUAAUACCGCAUACGCUCUACGGAGGAAAGCCGGGGACCGCAAGGCCUGGCACUGAUAGAUGAGCCCAAGUCGGAUUAGCUAGUUGGCGGGGUAACGGCCCACCAAGGCGACGAUCCGUAGCUGGUCUGAGAGGACGAUCAGCCACACUGGGACUGAGACACGGCCCAGACUCCUACGGGAGGCAGCAGUGGGGAAUAUUGGACAAUGGGGGAAACCCUGAUCCAGCGACGCCGCGUGGGUGAAGAAGGCCUGCGGGUUGUAAAGCCCUUUCGGUAGGGACGAAAACUCUCGACUUAACACGUCGGGAGCUUGACUUAACCUACAAAAGAAGCACCGGCUAACUCUGUGCCAGCAGCCGCGGUAAUACAGAGGGUGCGAGCGUUAAUCGGAAUUACUGGGCGUAAAGCGCACGUAGGCGGCUUGGUAUGUCGGGUGUGAAAUCCCUCGGCUUAACCGAGGACCCGCGUCCGAUACUGUCGAACUUGAGUGCAGGAGAGGAGAGCGGAAUUCCCAGUGUAGCGGUGAAAUGCGUAGAUACUGGGAGGAACACCGGUGGCGAAGGCGGCUCUCUGGACUGUCACUGACGCUGAGGCGCGAAAGCUAGGGGAGCAAACGGGAUUAGAUACCCCGGUAGUCCUAGCCGUAAACGAUGGGCACUAGGUGUGGGAGGUAUCGACCCCUUCCGUGCCGCAGCUAACGCAUUAAGUGCCCCGCCUGGGGAGUACGG